rnacentral:rRNA from 1 species
UACGUAGGUGGCGAGCGUUGUCCGGAUUUACUGGGCGUAAAGGGAGCGUAGGCGGACUUUUAAGUGAGAUGUGAAAUACUCGGGCUCAACUUGAGUGCUGCAUUUCAAACUGGAAGUCUAGAGUGCAGGAGAGGAGAAUGGAAUUCCUAGUGUAGCGGUGAAAUGCGUAGAUAUUAGGAGGAACACCAGUGGCGAAGGCGGCCUGCUGGACAGUAACUGACGUUGAGGCUCGAAAGCGUGGGGAGCAAACAGG